rnacentral:ncRNA from 1 species
AUUAAUCUGUUGAUUGAGACAAGUAUGUUGAUGGAAGCUCAAGCGAGCCGGUGGUGGUGUGAGUCCGGUAGUGGAUAUCGAUUGAAUAGAACUCAUGAAGAGGUUCCAGGAAAGACAAGUAUUGGGACCCGGUUAAAAACCGUUAUAGUGAAAGAGAUAAAGCAAUUGCUUUAAUUAGAGUGGUAACGUGGAUUAUGUCCGCCUCUUGA